GGCCGGGCCGUGCAUUAUGCAUGGGAGCAGCGGCCUGGCUGCGCAGCCAGCAUUGCCAAAAGGAGCCCUGGAGAGGCAAGAGGAAGCGAGUCAGGCCGCGGUCAGCUCUACGCUGUUCAGUCAAGGAGGAUCGGCUUUUAACAGCCACGUACGCGUGUAAGCUGCGGGUGCCACUCGUGUUCCCUCGUGGGUUAGCAUGAACGGCGCAGAGAGGGUCCGUGAAGAAGCACCGAUGCUGCCACCGUCCCUCCUGGCAGCACCACUGAGCAGAGAGACCGAGGCCUCUGUUCUGCAGCUUCCUGGAGCCUCAUCGACUUCGGUGUGUCCAGCUCACUGUGGUCUGGACCACGAUUCCUCAGCGGAAAGCUAUGGCGCAGCUUCAAGUGGUUAUCCCCAGUUACCAUCUCAACAACAUAGAUUUGCACAGCCAUGGAAACAGAGACACGAACAUGUUGGUGUAGUUACUGCAGAGCUCCCACCUCAGAGCUGAUCCCGAGGGUGCCUGAGCGUGUGUAAGCUCCUGAGCUCCGCCGUCCUCAACGUCAGAGUCCUCAAACUACCCAGGAGCAGGGUCAGAAGCCAAAGGGUUUCAGUGCAUCAAACCACUUAGUCCAUUAAAUGCCCGUUUCCCCUGACCAGCAGCACAUCUUAGGCUGUAUCUCCACUUGAGGAGCUCUGCUUGUUUCAAAUGCAGACGCAUCUCCCGAUUUAGACACUAAACUGAGUCUCAGGGGGUGCAAAUCCUUCCCUGCCUCCCACUGUUACUGCCUGUGAGUCAUCCCGACCUGAUGGCAUUUAUCCAGGCAAAAUGGGGGAGAGGGAACAGAGCACGGCAUCCGUGUCUCCCGACUUAUCAGAGUAAUGUCUGUUUGCUUUACGUCGUGCGGGUGCAGAACACAAGUUAUUUCGUUCCAGGGUAGUGGAGGCGAGACCUACCACACGUAGUGAUUUGCUCGUGGCGAUAAGCCAAAUCUGUGGCAGAGCCACGCUGUGCUCCACCACCUUAUUUCCAUUAAACCUCAGACUUGAAACGA